rnacentral:rRNA from 1 species
CACGUAGUUAGCCGGGGCUUCUUGUCCAGGUACUGUCAUUUUCUUCCCUGCUGACAGGGCUUUACGCACCGGAGUGCUUCCUCACCCACGCGGCAUUGCUGCAUCAGGGUUCCCCCCAUUGUGCAAUAUUCCCCACUGCUGCCUCCCGCAGGAGUCUGGGCCGUGUCUCAGUCCCAAUGUGGCCGUCCACUCUCUCAAGCCGGCUACUGAUCGUUGUCUUGGUAGGCCGUUACCCUGCCAACUAACUAAUCAGACGCGGGCCCAUCCUGUACCACCGUGGUUUUCCCUGCUGUGCCAUGCGGCACAGCAGGCUUAUGCGGUAUUAGCAGCCAUUUCUGGCUGUUGUCCCCCGGUACAGGGCAGGUUGCCCACGGCGUUACUCACCCCGUCCGCCACUAGGUUUAUAUAUCCUUUCCCCUCCGGGAGUACGUUUCCCGUCAAUUACUAAAACCCCCGUUUCGAACUUUGCAUUGUGUUAGGCAUGCCGCCAGCGUUUCAUUCCCUGACGCCAGGACUCAAA